rnacentral:rRNA from 1 species
AAUGGGUCAGCGACUUAUAUUCUGUAGCAAGGUUAACCGAAUAGGGGAGCCGAAGGGAAACCGAGUCUUAACUGGGCGUUAAGUUGCAGGGUAUAGACCCGAAACCCGGUGAUCUAGCCAUGGGCAGGUUGAAGGUUGGGUAACACUAACUGGAGGACCGAACCGACUAAUGUUGAAAAAUUAGCGGAUGACUUGUGGCUGGGGGUGAAAGGCCAAUCAAACCGGGAGAUAGCUGGUUCUCCCCGAAAGCUAUUUAGGUAGCGCCUCGUGAAUUCAUCUCCGGGGGUAGAGCACUGUUUCGGCAAGGGGGUCAUCCCGACUUACCAACCCGAUGCAAACUGCGAAUACCGGAGAAUGUUAUCACGGGAGACACACGGCGGGUGCUAACGUCCGUCGUGAAGAGGGAAACAACCCAGACCGCCAGCUAAGGUCCCAAAGUCAUGGUUAAGUGGGAAACGAUGUGGGAAGGCCCAGACAGCCAGGAUGUUGGCUUAGAAGCAGCCAUCAUUUAAAGAAAGCGUAAUAGCUCACUGGUCGAGUCGGCCUGCGCGGAAGAUGUAACGGGGCUAAACCAUGCACCGAAGCUGCGGCAGCGACGCUGAUGCGUUGUUGGGUAGGGGAGCGUUCUGUAAGCCUGUGAAGGUGUGCUGUGAGGCAUGCUGGAGGUAUCAGAAGUGCGAAUGCUGACAUAAGUAACGAUAAAGCGGGUGAAAAGCCCGCUCGCCGGAAGACCAAGGGUUCCUGUCCAACGUUAAUCGGGGCAGGGUGAGUCGACCCCUAAGGCGAGGCCGAAAGGCGUAGUCGAUGGGAAACAGGUUAAUAUUCCUGUACUUGGUGUUACUGCGAAGGGGGGACGGAGAAGGCUAUGUUGGCCGGGCGACGGUUGUCCCGGUUUAAGCGUGUAGGCUGGUUUUCCAGGCAAAUCCGGAAAAUCAAGGCUGAGGCGUGAUGACGAGGCACUACGGUGCUGAAGCAACAAAUGCCCUGCUUCCAGGAAAAGCCUCUAAGCAUCAGGUAACAUCAAAUCGUACCCCAAACCGACACAGGUGGUCAGGUAGAGAAUACCAAGGCGCUUGAGAGAACUCGGGUGAAGGAACUAGGCAAAAUGGUGCCGUAACUUCGGGAGAA